rnacentral:rRNA from 1 species
GACGAACGCUGGCGGCGUGCUUAACACAUGCAAGUCGAACGGUGAAGCGAGUGCUUGCACUCGUGGAUCAGUGGCGAACGGGUGAGUAACACGUGAGUAACCUGCCCAUCACUCUGGGAUAAGCACUGGAAACGGUGUCUAAUACUGGAUACGACCAACCCUUGCAUGGGGUGUUGGUGGAAAGAUUUAUCGGUGAUGGAUGGACUCGCGGCCUAUCAGCUUGUUGGGGGGGUAAUGGCCCACCAAGGCGACGACGGGUAGCCGGCCUGAGAGGGUGACCGGCCACACUGGGACUGAGACACGGCCCAGACUCCUACGGGAGGCAGCAGUGGGGAAUAUUGCACAAUGGGCGAGAGCCUGAUGCAGCGACGCCGCGUGAGGGAUGACGGCCUUCGGGUUGUAAACCUCUGUCAGCAGGGAAGAAGCGAAAGUGACGGUACCUGCAGAAGAAGCACCGGCUAACUACGUG